CCUACGGGUGGCUGCAGUGGGGAAUAUUGGACAAUGGGGGGAACCCUGAUCCAGCCAUGCCGCGUGUGUGAAGAAGGCCCUCGGGUUGUAAAGCACUUUCAGUGAGGAAGAACGCCUGGUGGUUAAUACCCAUCAGGAAAGACAUCACUCACAGAAGAAGCACCUGCUAACUCCGUGCCAGCAGCCGCGGUAAUACGGAGGGUGCGAGCGUUAAUCGGAAUUACUGGGCGUAAAGCGCGCGUAGGUGGCUUGAUAAGCCGGUUGUGAAAGCCCCGGGCUCAACCUGGGAACGGCAUCCGGAACUGUCAAGCUAGAGUGCAGGAGAGGAAGGUAGAAUUCCCGGUGUAGCGGUGAAAUGCGUAGAGAUCGGGAGGAAUACCAGUGGCGAAGGCGGCCUUCUGGACUGACACUGACACUGAGGUGCGAAAGCGUGGGUAGCAAACAGGAUUAGAUACCCCUGUAGUC
rnacentral:rRNA from 1 species